rnacentral:rRNA from 1 species
CCCUUAGAUGUUCUGGGCCGCACGCGCGCUACACUGAUGCAUUCAACGAGUCUAAAACCUGCUCUGAUAGGGGUGGGUAAUCUUUUGAAUGUGCAUCGUGAUUGGGAUAGAUGAUUGCAAUUUUUCAUCUUCAACGAGGAAUGCCUAGUAAACGCAAGUCUUCAGCUUGCAUUGAUUACGUCCCUGCCCUUUGUACACACCGCCCGUCGCUCCUACCGAUUGAAUGAUCCGAUGAAUAUCAUGGAUUGAGGAUUAUAGCAGGUUCGCCUGUCUUGAUCUUCGAGAAGUGAAGUAAAUCUUAUCAUUUAGAGGAAGGAGAAGUCGUAACA